UACGGGGGGAGCAAGCGUUGUCCGGAAUCAUUGGGCGUAAAGAGCGUGUAGGCGGCUCGAUAAGUCUGCUGUGAAAGUCCAGGGCUCAACCCUGGAAGGCCGGUGGAAACUGUCGGGCUAGAGUCCGGAAGAGGCGAGUGGAAUUCCCGGUGUAGCGGUGAAAUGCGCAGAUAUCGGGAGGAACACCAAUGGCGAAGGCAGCUCGCUGGGACGGUACUGACGCUGAGGUGCGAAAGCGUGGGGAGCAAACAGGG
rnacentral:rRNA from 1 species